UAGGGAAUCUUCCACAAUGGGCGAAAGCCUGAUGGAGCAACGCCGCGUGAGUGAAGAAGGAUUUCGGUUCGUAAAACUCUGUUGUAAGGGAAGAACAAGUACAGUAGUAACUGGCUGUACCUUGACGGUACCUUAUUAGAAAGCCACGGCUAACUACGUGCCAGCAGCCGCGGUAAUACGUAGGUGGCAAGCGUUGUCCGGAAUUAUUGGGCGUAAAGCGCGCGCAGGUGGUUUCUUAAGUCUGAUGUGAAAGCCCACGGCUCAACCGUGGAGGGUCAUUGGAAACUGGGAGACUUGAGUGCAGAAGAGGAUAGUGGAAUUCCAAGUGUAGCGGUGAAAUGCGUAGAGAUUUGGAGGAACACCAGUGGCGAAGGCGACUAUCUGGUCUGUAACUGACACUGAGGCGCGAAAGCGUGGGGAGCAAACAGGAUUAGAUACCCUGGUAGUCCACGCCGUAAACGAUGAGUGCUAAGUGUUAGGGGGUUUCCGCCCCUUAGUGCUGCAGCUAACGCAUUAAGCACUUCCGCCUGGGGA
rnacentral:rRNA from 1 species